rnacentral:rRNA from 1 species
UACAGAGGGGGCAAGCGUUGUUCGGAAUUACUGGGCGUAAAGGGCGCGUAGGCGGCCCGCUAAGUCGAACGUGAAAUCCCCGAGCUCAACUCGGGAACUGCGUCCGAUACUGGCGGGCUUGAAUCCGGGAGAGGGAUGCGGAAUUCCAGGUGUAGCGGUGAAAUGACGUAGAUAUCUGGAGGAACACCGGUGGCGAAGGCGGCAUCCUGGACCGGCAUUGACGCUGAGGCGCGAAAGCUAGGGGAGCAAAGCGGGG